rnacentral:lncRNA from 1 species
CUACCCUCUUGUUCUUCUUAUAUCAAAUUUCUUUACCUCUCCCAACGGAAGCAUUAAAAAUCUUCAAGCACAAAAUGACUGCCUCAGAUAGCCUUUUCUAUUUUUGUCCCCAAAGAGAGGAGUGGCCGUGAACUGGUCUGUGCAUAGAACAUGUUUGGCACAGCUUUCCCCUGUUUGUUUGGUAAAACUUCUAAAAAUUGCUUAUCAGCUUCUUGCUGCUUUUCAAGGGGGUGUUUUAGCUGUUUUUGAGAAGCAACACCUGGG